AGGGAAAGGCGAAAAGAACCCCGGCGAGGGGAGUGAAAAAGAACCUGAAACCGUGUACGUACAAGCAGUGGGAGCACGCUUAGGCGUGUGACUGCGUACCUUUUGUAUAAUGGGUCAGCGACUUAUAUUCUGUAGCAAGGUUAACCGAAUAGGGGAGCCGAAGGGAAACCGAGUCUUAACUGGGCGUUAAGUUGCAGGGUAUAGACCCGAAACCCGGUGAUCUAGCCAUGGGCAGGUUGAAGGUUGGGUAACACUAACUGGAGGACCGAACCGACUAAUGUUGAAAAAUUAGCGGAUGACUUGUGGCUGGGGGUGAAAGGCCAAUCAAACCGGGAGAUAGCUGGUUCUCCCCGAAAGCUAUUUAGGUAGCGCCUCGUGAAUUCAUCUCCGGGGGUAGAGCACUGUUUCGGCAAGGGGGUCAUCCCGA
rnacentral:rRNA from 1 species